rnacentral:lncRNA from 1 species
CUGCACAAUCGCCACCGCCGAUUGUUGCCGCUCAGUGUGUAAUCCAUCAGCGAGAUAGCGGGCGCCCACGACCCUGCCCUCGCCGUGUGGCCCGUCCGCGAGAUAGCCCGUGCCCAGGAGCCUACCCCGGCACCCGGUGCCGCGCCCGCCCUGCACGUCCCCUGAACCAGCCGGCCACACGAAGCUGUAAUUCUUCCCUGCCCUUCUUUAGGUUCAACUUCUUCGUUUGACCUGUUGCAGCAUUAUACAGGAUUAGAAUUUUCAGAAUAGAGUUCUAAAAAACAAACAGUUGCACAGCACAAUGCUAUAAGCCGUUCGUUUUAUAUCUGUAAUUAAUGGUUUUCUAUGUGGAACAUGGUUAGUGUUUUGGCUGCUGCAAUUUUGUAACUAACUAAAUCAUGCACCCUAUCUCCUUGGCUUUCAAAAUUUACGAAGGUGACUUGAGUUCUCGCAGAACACCUGAAAUAUUGGAUUUAGCUUAUAGAAUUUACAAAGGUGCCAAUGGUAUUAACGUAAGCGCACAUCACAGAACAAGAAAAUUAAUCAUAAUUAGUUUCAGCUCGGACCUAUGGUGUACGUGCAUAUACACUCAUAGGCAUGGGCCAAAUUAUAGAGUGCUACUCUGAAACAACAAAGUGCACUAAGAUACCAACAGAUACAUACAUACCUCAUGCGUGCUCAAGGACAUACCAAGACCCCAG